AGCGAACGCUGGCGGCAGGCCUAACACAUGCAAGUCGAACGGACCCUUCGGGGUUAGUGGCGGACGGGUGGGUAACACGUGGGAACGUGCCUUUAGGUUCGGAAUAGCUCCUGGAAACGGGUGGUAAUGCCGAAUGUGCCCUUCGGGGGAAAGAUUUAUCGCCUUUAGAGCGGCCCGCGUCUGAUUAGCUUGUUGGUGGGGUAAUGGCCCACCAAGGCUACGAUCAGUAGCUGGUCUGAGAGGAUGACCAGCCACAUUGGGACUGAGACACGGCCCAAACUCCUACGGGAGGCAGCAGUGGGGAAUCUUGCGCAAUGGGCGAAAGCCUGACGCAGCCAUGCCGCGUGUAUGAUGAAGGUCUUAGGAUUGUAAAAUACUUUCACCGGUGAAGAUAAUGACUGUAGCCGGAGAAGAAGCCCCGGCUAACUUCGUGCCAGCAGCCGCGGUAAUACGAAGGGGGCUAGCGUUGCUCGGAAUUACUGGGCGUAAAGGGAGCGUAGGCGGACAUUUAAGU
rnacentral:rRNA from 1 species